rnacentral:misc_RNA from 1 species
GAUGAAGAACGCAGCGAAAUGCGAUAAGUAGUGUGAAUUGCAGAAUUCAGUGAAUCAUCGAAUCUUUGAACGCACAUUGCGCCCCUUGGUAUUCCAUGGGGCAUGCCUGUUCGAGCGUCAUUUGUACCUUCAAGCUCUGCUUGGUGUUGGGUGAUUGUCUAUCUUUAUAGACUCGCCUUAAAGUCAUUGGCAGCCGGCAUAUUGGCCUGGGAGCGCAGCACAAGUCGCGCUUCUUGUCAUGAAUGUUGGCGUCCAGUAAGUCUACAUAUUUUGCUCUUGACCUCGGAUCAGGUAGGGAUACCCGCUGAACUUAAGCAUAUCAAUAAGCGGAGGA